GAUGGACGCGCGGGAGAGCGUGGUGCCGGUUCGCCGGUAUCGCCGCCGAAGGAGCAACCGCCCCGGAAUCUCUCAGGUCAAAGGACCGCGCGGACAGU
rnacentral:ncRNA from 2 species